UACGAAGGGGGCUAGCGUUGCUCGGAAUGACUGGGCGUAAAGGGCGCGUAGGCGGUUCGUACAGUCAGACGUGAAAUUCCCGGGCUCAACCUGGGGGCUGCGUUUGAUACGUGCGGGCUUGAGUUCGGAAGAGGGUCGUGGAAUUCCCAGUGUAGAGGUGAAAUUCGUAGAUAUUCGCAAGAACACCUGUGGCGAAGGCGGCUCACUGGCCCAUUACUGACGCUGAGGCACGAAAGCGUGGGGAGCAAACAGG
rnacentral:rRNA from 1 species